rnacentral:rRNA from 1 species
CGUAAGGACCGAGCGUUGUCCGGAAUCAUUGGGCGUAAAGGGUACGUAGGCGGCUAGAAAAGUUAGAAGUCAAAGGCUAUAGCUCAACUAUAGUAAGCUUCUAAAACUAUUUAGCUUUGAGAAAUGGAAGGGAAAGUGGAAUUCCUAGUGUAGCGGUGGAAUGCGCAGAUAUUAGGAAGAAUACCGGUGGCGAAGGCGACUUUCUGGCCAUUUAUCUGACGCUGAGGUACGAAAGCGUGGGUAGCAAACAGGAUU